UCAAGAGAACGUGAAAUCGCUGGAGUGGAACCGGAGAGAGUUGACGUAGCCGGGUAACUAAGUCUACUAAUGUCGCUUAAUUGUGACUGCGGGAGAUGUAUGUUGCCUAUGGCUGCGCUGACAGCGCUGGCCGUGCGUUCCGAACCGUUUAGCGUUGCCCACCGUUUCGGCGGUGGUGUCUUGCUGGCGGAUAGGUUUGUCGUGGCUAGCGUUUUUGCCCUACUUCAUUGUAGGGUGUCAGUGUGAAAGUCGACCACCUCUCCGA
rnacentral:rRNA from 1 species